UACGUAGGAUGCAAGCGUUGUCCGGAAUUAUUGGGCGUAAAGAGUUCGUAGGCGGUUGCCUAAGUCUGGUGUUAAAUACAGGAGCUCAACUCCUGCAUGGCACUGGAAACUGGGCAGCUAGAGUGUGGUAGAGGUCACGGGAAUUCCAGGUGUAGCGGUGAAAUGCGUAGAUAUCGGGAGGAACACCUGUGGCGAAAGCGGCUCACUGGACCAUAACUGACGCUGAUGCACGAAAGCUGGGGGAGCAAACAGG
rnacentral:rRNA from 1 species